GCUGCUGUAGCUCAGUGGUAGAGCGCGUCAUUGGUAAUGACGAGGUCGGCAGUUCAAUCCUGCCCAGCAGCACCA
rnacentral:tRNA from 1 species